rnacentral:rRNA from 1 species
AUUGAACGCUGGCGGCAGACCUAACACAUGCAAGUCGAGCGGAUGAAGGGAGCUUGCUCCUGGAUUCAGCGGCGGACGGGUGAGUAAUGCCUAGGAAUCUGCCUGGUAGUGGGGGAUAACGUCCGGAAACGGGCGCUAAUACCGCAUACGUCCUGAGGGAGUACGUGGGGGAUCUUCGGACCUCACGCUAUCAGAUGAGCCUAGGUCGGAUUAGCUAGGUGGUGGGGUAACGGCCUACAAAGGCGACGAUCCGUAACUGGUCUGAGAGGAUGAUCAGUCACACUGGAACUGAGACACGGUCCAGACUCCUACGGGAGGCAGCAGUGGGGAAUAUUGGACAAUGGGCGAAAGCCUGAUCCAGCCAUGCCGCGUGUGUGAAGAAGGUCUUCGGAUUGUAAAGCACUUUAAGUUGGGAGGAAGGGCAGUAAGUUAAUACCUUGCUGUUUUGACGUUACCAACAGAAUAAGCACCGGCUAACUUCGUG